rnacentral:rRNA from 1 species
UGGGGAAUAUUGGACAAUGGGCGAAAGCCUGAUCCAGCCAUGCCGCGUGUGUGAAGAAGGUCUCCGGAUUGUAAAGCACUUUAAGUUGGGAGGAAGGGCAUUAACCUAAUACGUUAGUGUUUUGACGUUACCGACAGAAUAAGCACCGGCUAACUCUGUGCCAGCAGCCGCGGUAAUACAGAGGGUGCAAGCGUUAAUCGGAAUUACUGGGCGUAAAGCGCGCGUAGGUGGUUUGUUAAGUUGGAUGUGAAAGCCCCGGGCUCAACCUGGGAACUGCAUCCAAAACUGGCAAGCUAGAGUACGGUAGAGGGUGGUGGAAUUUCCUGUGUAGCGGUGAAAUGCGUAGAUAUAGGAAGGAACACCAGUGGCGAAGGCGACCACCUGGACUGAUACUGACACUGAGGUGCGAAAGCGUGGGGAGCAAACA